UACGAAGGGGGCUAGCGUUGCUCGGAAUUACUGGGCGUAAAGCGCACGUAGGCGGCUUUCUAAGUCAGGGGUGAAAUCCUGGAGCUCAACUCCAGAACUGCCUUUGAUACUGGAGAGCUCGAGUCCGGGAGAGGUGAGUGGAACUGCGAGUGUAGAGGUGAAAUUCGUAGAUAUUCGCAAGAACACCAGUGGCGAAGGCGGCUCACUGGCCCGGUACUGACGCUGAGGCACGAAAGCGUGGGGAGCAAACAGG
rnacentral:rRNA from 1 species